rnacentral:rRNA from 1 species
GAUGAACGCUGGCGUCGUGCCUAAUACAUGCAAGUCGAGCGAACGGACGAGAAGCUUGCUUUUCUGAUGUUAGCGGCGGACGGGUGAGUAACACGUGGAUAACCUACCUAUAAGACUGGGAUAACUUCGGGAAACCGGAGCUAAUACCGGAUAAUAUUUUGAACCGCAUGGUUCAAAAGUGAAAGACGGUCUUGCUGUCACUUAUAGAUGGAUCCGCGCUGCAUUAGCUAGUUGGUAAGGUAACGGCUUAUCAAGGCAACGAUGCAUAGCCGACCUGAGAGGGUGAUCGGCCACACUGGAACUGAGACACGGUCCAGACUCCUACGGGAGGCAGCAGUAGGGAAUCUUCCGCAAAGGGCGAAAGCCUGACGGAGCAACGCCGCGUGAGUGAUGAAGGUCUUCGGAUCGUAAAACUCUGUUAUUAGGGAAGAACAUAUGUGUAAGUAACUGUGCACAUCUUGACGGUACCUAAUCAGAAAGCCACGGCUAACUACGUG